rnacentral:rRNA from 1 species
UACAGAGGGUGCGAGCGUUAAUCGGAAUUACUGGGCGUAAAGGGUGCGUAGGUGGCUGCGUAAGUUAGGUGUGAAAUUCCUGGGCUUAACCUGGGAACUGCGCCUGAUACUGCGUGGCUAGAGUACUGUAGAGGAAGGUGGAAUUUCCAGUGUAGCGGUGAAAUGCGUAGAUAUUGGAAGGAACAUCGGUGGCGAAGGCGACCUUCUGGACAGAUACUGACACUGAGGCACGAAAGCAUGGGGAGCAAACAGG